AGGUUGAUGAUGAGACCUCAUACUGUCUCGAAUAGAGAUGAUGACUUAAAAAUCAGGCUCAAUAGGAUUAUGAUGAGACCC
ensembl:snoRNA SNORD115 Small nucleolar RNA SNORD115